UUGCCCCUUCGGCCCCACCUCGUGAUCACCCGUUCCGUGCUGCUCCGCCUGCCCCACAGCCUACAGUUGGGAGUUCAAACUUCGAGAGCCGAAGCGAAGCGGGGCCAUGGGGAGAUCACGAGCGACUGCCGCCGCCGCCACCUCCAGGCCCAGGCGCAACCCCAAGCCAAAGCCGGACUCCCCCUUCCUCUCCCCGCUCGCGUCGCUGUCUGCCACACCGCGCAUCCGCACCCGCAAGGGCGCCAUCCGCCGCGGCGGCCCCUCCCACGCGUCGUCGUCGCCGGGUUCUUCCCCCACCGGUCUCAACGUCAGAUUCCUUUCCUCGCCGGGCUCCGCCUCCCCGUCGAAGCCCAAGCCGAAGCUAAGGUCCAGUGCCAAGCCCAAGUCGCGCCCCUCCUUCGUCUCCCCGCUCUCGUCGCCGUCACCCGCACCACGUACCCGCAAACGCACCGUCCGCGGCGUCGGCUCCUCACCUGCGUCGUCGUCGCCGGGGUCCUCUCCAGCCGAACUCAACAUCAGCUUGCCCUCCUCGCCGGGCUUCUCCGCCUCCCCGCCGAAGCCCAGUGCCAGGGCCAAUCUCGCCGCGCGCGCCCCCUUCGUCGCUAGCCCCCGCACCGCCACACCUUCCCCCGCCGCGUCUCCCCAGCCUGCUUCGGUGUCGGCGAAGGGGUUAUCCAGCGUCGGAGACCUCAGGACCGCCGUCGCCUCACAGAUGGAGAACCUCAAGCGCCGACUCGACGCGCUCCAUUCCCGCGCUCACGACGACCUCGAUGCGUCCUUCUCCCGCAUCUCCAAGCGAAUCAAGACCCAAAACCAAGCCUGUCAGCAUCUGGCAGAUGAAGUUGACAAGGAGCACAAGAAGAUGUCUGAUAAUAUAAAAGAAAGUUCUGAGAUUGCCAGGGCAAAGUACAAGCAGAUCAUCGCAGAGGCACAAGCUUCCACAACUCGUGUGUGCAAGGUGACUAUCCCUGAGAUGACAAAAUCUGUGGAGAAAGCUAUUGAUGGUCUGUGUACCCGAUAUAAUAUCUCAAUGCCAGUUUAAUUACCAAGUACAAGUUCUACUCACUACACUUCUGAGUGAUAUUGCCACCAACGUCCGCGCUUCCCUACCUAGAUCAAGAUGUUCAGGGGGCUUGGUAAGGGGAAAGGGAAGAAAAAGGGUGAAAGCUCCUACAGGUCCAUUCGAUCUAGGUCGAGUAGGGAGGCUGAUCCUACUGUUGACGUUGUUGGGGGCCUUCGUUUUCCUAAGGUCCUCAAUAACAUGAACUAACCAUUGGCCAUCAGUAUAUUUGUCAAGCAUUGCAGGAGCUUCAGAAUCAGACUACCUUUAGUGUAGAACGAUGGAAGAGUAUCGAAGGUAGCUUCGUCAUAACAACAAUGGGAAGGUGGUGCAAGGAGAAGGUGUCACCACGAACACCAAAGGCAGAAGACAAUGCUAUCCCUGUACUGUUUGUAAAUCUUGUGUGCAAUUCUUAAUGGCAUAAGUGUAAUUUCAUAUGAAGCUAUAUGAUUUCGUAUAAAUAGAUGAACAGUGCCCCGCAUAAAGUACUUUUUGGCGGAUUGGGCGAUCAUUGUGUAAUUCUCUCUCGACGACACCUUCAUUGUAAUUCUCUCUGAAGAACCGAAGGUACAAUUGUAAAGUUAAUUUACAAAAAGGGAACAUGUUAUUGAUAUAUUUUAAUCGAUUUUUGAU